rnacentral:rRNA from 1 species
GACAGAGGGUGCAAACGUUGUUCGGAAUUACUGGGCGUAAGGCGCGUGUAGGCGGUUCGGUAAGUCGGAUGUGAAAGCCCCGGGCUCAACCCGGGAAGUGCACUCGAUACUGCCGAGCUAGAGUGUCGGAGAGGUUGGUGGAAUUCUCGGUGUAGAGGUGAAAUUCGUAGAUAUCGAGAGGAACACCGGUGGCGAAGGCGGCCAACUGGACGAACACUGACGCUGAGACUCGAAAGCGUGGGGAGCAAACAGG